rnacentral:rRNA from 1 species
UCUCCAGCUUGCUGGGGGGAUUAGUGGCGAACGGGUGAGUAACACGUGAGUAACCUGCCCUUGACUCUGGGAUAAGCCUGGGAAACUGGGUCUAAUACCGGAUAUGACCAUUCCACGCAUGUGGUGGUGGUGGAAAGCUUUUGCGGUUUUGGAUGGACUCGCGGCCUAUCAGCUUGUUGGUGGGGUAAUGGCCUACCAAGGCGACGACGGGUAGCCGGCCUGAGAGGGUGACCGGCCACACUGGGACUGAGACACGGCCCAGACUCCUACGGGAGGCAGCAGUGGGGAAUAUUGCACAAUGGGCGGAAGCCUGAUGCAGCGACGCCGCGUGAGGGAUGACGGCCUUCGGGUUGUAAACCUCUUUCAGUAGGGAAGAAGCCGCAAGGUGACGGUACCUGCAGAAGAAGCGCCGGCUAACUACGUGCCAGCAGCCGCGGUAAUACGUAGGGCGCAAGCGUUAUCCGGAAUUAUUGGGCGUAAAGAGCUCGUAGGCGGUUUGUCGCGUCUGCUGUGAAAGACCGGGGCUCAACUCCGGUUCUGCAGUGGGUACGGGCAGACUAGAGUGCAGUAGGGGAGACUGGAAUUCCUGGUGUAGCGGUGAAAUGCGCAGAUAUCAGGAGGAACACCGAUGGCGAAGGCAGGUCUCUGGGCUGUAACUGACGCUGAGGAGCGAAAGCAUGGGGAGCGAACAGGAUUAGAUACCUGGUAGUCCAUGCCGUAAACGUUGGGCACUAGGUGUG